CCUCUCUGGAUGAUACCAGUGAUGAACAACAAAUCAGAAUGUUUAAAGGUUACUUCAACAUACUUCCGUUAUCUUGGGUUACCUUUGAAUAUAAAACACUAGGACUGCCUUUCCCUUCCUCAUUCACUUCUUCAGAGUUAAGAAAGAAAAAUGCUCAGUAGUUUCUGUAUUUAACAGUAGCCUACAUUGUGCCUCUUAUAGUGACUUUUUAGAAGUGAUGUAUGCAUCCCUCGCCUGCUGUUAGAACUAAAUAUUUUAAUAUUCACACAGGAGCAAAAAUUAUUAGUUUAGAUUAGAGUAUUGCAGAACAGCCCUGUUCUGUCUUCAUAAUUACCUUCCUAAUGUUUG